CUCUGAAGCUUGCGCUGUUAGCAACGUUACCAGAAUGCUAUGGGGGCCUAAACGGUCGAGUUGUGUAUAUUGACACUGAAUCCAAGUUCUCUUCACGGAGGAUGAUCGAGAUAUGUCAGAAAAGGUUUCCUCAAAUAUUUAGGCAAGAAGGCUUAGCACAAAAGAUGGCUGGCAGGAUCCUAGUGAUGCGACCAACAUCAUUAUCUGAUUUCACAAAGAGUUUGGAACAGAUGAAGGUGACUCUCCUCCAAAAUGAUGUGAAGUUACUCAUUGUUGAUAGCGUGGCUGCUUUCAUGUCAUCGUAAGAU